rnacentral:rRNA from 1 species
CAGUAGCCACGGUAAUACGAAGGGUGCAAGCGUUACCCGGAAUUACUGGGCGUAAAGCGUGCGUAGGUGGUUCGUUAAGUCUGAUGUGAAAGCCCUGGGCUCAACCUGGGAAUUGCAUUGGAUACUGGCGAGCUAGAGUGCGGUAGAGGGUAGUGGAAUUCCCGGUGUAGCAGUGAAAUGCGUAGAGAUCGGGAGGAACAUCUGUGGCGAAGGCGACUGCCUGGACCAGCACUGACACUGAGGCACGAAAGCGUGGGGAGCAAACAGGAUUAGAUACCCCCGUAGUCCCUGUCUCUUAUAC